rnacentral:rRNA from 1 species
GUCCACGCCGUAAACGAUGUCUACUAGCCGUUGGGCAGCUUUGACUGUUUAGUGGCGCAGCUAACGCGAUAAGUAGACCGCCUGGGGAGUACGGCCGCAAGGUUAAAACUCAAAUGAAUUGACGGGGGCCCGCACAAGCGGUGGAGCAUGUGGUUUAAUUCGAUGCAACGCGAAGAACCUUACCAGGCCUUGACAUCCUCGGAACUUUCUAGAGAUAGAUUGGUGCCUUCGGGAACCGAGUGA